UCUGCGAGAGACGAAGCGGCGUAAGGCGGCUAUGAAGGUCUCGGAGGUGUAAUCCGAGACGACUUCGAGAUGGAUAGCCUUCGACCAGAAGCAGAUGAAGACAGCGAUGUGUCCCUUCUGCGCGCGAUGUCCGCGCCCCUUGCUGGUCCGCAUGAAGAUGGGUUCCGCGUAGUCCAGGCCAGUACUCAGAAAUGGUCGAGUUGGCGUCACUCGGUCACGAGGAAGGUUGCCCAUUGGAAGUUGUGGGGUGGCAGCUCGCCAGCGAGUGCAAGUGACGCACCGAUGCAACUGCUGCUUAACGACAGUCCUUCCGCGUGGCACCCAGAAUCGAAGGCGAAGUAGGCCGAGUGUCAUCUGGACGCCGCCGUGCAGAGUCCGACAAUGGCAAGACUCAAUUAACAGUCGAGUCAUCCAGGAGUCCGGCGGAACGAUCACCGGGUGUUUCUCGUCGUAGGGCAGCAGAGCGUGUUUGAGACGUCUUCCGACGCGCAGUACGCCUUGGUCGUCGAGGAAUGGAUUCUAGAAGCCUGUUGUAUUUUUGUGAGCAAAUUGGAAAAAGUGUAAAAAUAUACUGGAUCCCUAGUCAUAAGGGUAUUGCCGGUAAUGAAUACGUUGACGCGUUGACGAAGGAGUCUUUGAACCUUGAUAAUCCGUUCCAGGUGAGUAAAUGCCAUUACACUAAUCUUUAUUCCAAAUUUAAAAAAGAAGCGAAGGAAGAAGUCAUUAGCAUCCUAUUAACUCAAAGUAGACAUAAGGGUGCCAGAUAUUUUAAUCUGGUCGAAUCAGUGCUUUCUCCUCCGUGAUAUAGCCUGACGGAUCGAGAGCUGCCAAGACGGUUGGUGCUCAUGAUUUCUCGAAUUAGAUCUCACCACGUCUCGCUCCGGGGACACCUUUGGGAAAAAAAUAUUGUUGAAUCUCCUGAAUGUUCUUGUGGUCAUCCAUUCCAGGGCCUUAACAAUGUUUUCUUUAACUGUCCUGAAUUUUGUGUAUUUUCCAACAGACUCAUCACCGCUGUUUGUCUGAGUGAUUCUACUGUUGUCUUGGACGUACCACACCUUGCCUUCUCCAAGCAGAACAUAAUCUACGAAGAACUAUCCAAUUUUACAAAACGCACUGGAGUCAAGAUAUAGCUUCUCAUCUAAAGGAAACUAUAAGUAUUGAAGAUACAAAAAAUACAAAAGCCUGAAGCCUGAUUCGUCAAAAUUGUCUAAAAAUGGUGUAUGAGCUUUUAUAGCUCCAGCCAAAUAAAAAGAAGAAGAAGAAGAAGAUAUUCAGAGAGACUUACACAGGUUGACAUGGAUAGACAGAUAUAUUUCAGACAAUUAUGACUAACAAUUGUACGUGGAAUAAAUAUAAAUUUACAAUAUAAUUAUAUGAGGAAAGUUAACAUUUAGGCUAGAGAUACGGAUGACUAUAAUGAACAGAGACGAAGAUUUCGGUACGACUGGAUCGAUCACCAGAAUCGACUAAUCGAAUUUUCAUUAACUAUGACGAUGAUUAACAACUUCUAACAAUCUCGCGACAGUAUAAUAACAAUUGAAUAUACAGGAAUGUUCGGUAAACGGUUCGGUCGUUCAAACUCAAUAUCUCGGGUACGCGGUAUACACAGAGGUCACAUAAACACGAGUCGAGACACGGCGCGAUACAAAAAAAAACAAUUAACAAUAAGGCGACGGCAAUUUUGUGACUCUCUCGCCGAGUCGAAAAUCGUAAUAAUUAUCACACUCGCGAAGAACGGCUGCACGCAAAUUCCGUAAAUUCAAUGACCGAAUAAUUAACAAAGAAGAUAUCACGCACGAUGACCGUGACAUAGAACAGUACUCGGAAUAUACCGACGAACAAGAAUGGAAGACUCUCGCUCUCGGAACGAUUGACUGUCGGCAGUUGUUUUAUAUAUAUAUAUAUAUAUAUAUAUAUAUAUAUAUAUAUAUAAAAUACAUUGAUUAUGUAAAAUGUAUGAUAAUCUUUUCUUUUAAAGGAUUUUGGGAUCCAGAAUUUUCUGAGACAUCGUCAACCAUGCAAAAUGAAUAAAUAUAAUAUCUAUAUCAUCGGAUGAAAAGCCUUCAUCAAAAGUAUCAUGCUUUUUCCCGUGACACAUUAUCGAACCUUUCUUCUAUUGGAAUUUUUUAACAAAGACAGACUCUUGUAAGAUCGUAAUCGCGCACCGCAGAAAUCGGCUAUUUUCCCCAUAGCAUCACUUGCGGACAUGGAUGCUUUUGAAAGGUUCGACGAAAACGGAUAUUCCAACGCCGUAAAUUAUUUCCGUUAUAUCGGCGGCUUUAAUUUGAGAGAAACUAUUAACCUGUGUCUGAAGGAAGGUCUGAAGGAUGCCAUUGCGACGUCUUUUACAUGGUGGAGCCGCGAAGGACACUGGCCGUUAUACAAUACCCGUCUUAUUGUGGCGAUUUAUGAUGGUGUGUGCCAAAACAAGCAUUUUGAGAAACCAACGCGCUCUGAAUUUCAAGCGCAAAUGCGGGAGGCUUUGAGGAUGUCUAAGGAGAGACACUGAAGUAGAUCACGCAAGAAUACUGUUGCGCGCGGCGCAAGGAAUCAACGAAAUUGACGGAACGACGAGCGAUCGAACGAUGAGCAACCGAUUGGAGAAAGUACGAAUGAAGAAGUUUUAAACAAUUAGACAGGCGGUUUCUGGAGAUGCGCUCAUCGGAAAAUCCCGCAAUCCGGUUCUCGGACAUCAAUUAUUUCACACAUUUUCAGACUAAAGUUUUAUAAAAUGUCUUAAUUAAUUAAAUAACAA